UUUUUUUUUUUAAAUAUGCUUCAAGAAAGUUUAAAUAUGUGGGCCAGUUAGAAAUAAGAGUUUAGACACGUGGGGAUGAAGGGCCCACACUGUUGCAAACUACUAUUGCACGUGGCAGUUGUUGAGUUCGUGCAUUGAUACCGACUACUAUAAAUUUUUAUCAUUUACUCCACUACUUUUAGGUUAUAUUAUUUUACAAAAUUUUCGACAUGGUGUGGUGUAAUUGGCGCCUCAUUAUCACCGAAUAAAGAAAACAAUUUCUUUUUCAAGAUUGAGUGCUUUAUUGUUGAAACUAUGACAUAAUCAAAAAAUGGUUACGAAACUGAAGUACGAAUGAGACAUAGUUAUAUCCCGAUGAAUUUGAGCAGCAUCAAUGAAAAGUUAACCACAACUCAAUGUGCCUACAUCGAAUGCACCCCGUUCAAAUGGGCGAUGUAUAUUUCUAACAACUUCUCAAUCUCAGGUGGUUUAUUGUGGGAGUUAGUAAGUAGAUGGGACAUACGUAGUAGGGUAUUUAGGGGUAGAGAUAGGAUAGUUCCCUUUACUCCGGUUGAUGUUUCUUUUGCUCUUGGAUUCUCUAUUGUUGGUAAGUCUCUAGUAGUAGAAGAAGACCAACAAUGUCAAACAUUAGAUCUAUUUAAAGGGGCUGAGGUAACCAUUAAAAAUAUUCGCAAACAACUUCGUUGCCACAAGAAAAAAUUAGUUAAUUUUUUUAGACUUUACAUAUUACUUUCAUUUGUGGAGUUUUACUUUCCCAAAAUAGGGAAUAAGGUAUUUACGGGAUUUAUUAAGCAAUUGGAUAAUUUGAGUUCAUUUGAUACCCAUAGUUGGGGACUUGAUGUUUAUAACUUUGUAGUUUCUAGUUUACGUGAGUCUUCAGUUGUGUUGAAGGAGGGAAAAAAACAAGACACAAAGACAUUUAAACAGGUGUGUUGUCAUAUUGAAGGUAAAUAGAUUAUAUAACUUUAUAGUUCCAUCUUGUCUUUUGAAACUUUGAAAUUUUGAAAUUUACAACUUCUAAUUUUUGUUAUAGAUUUGGGCAUUCAACCAUUUAUCUUUGGGGAAAGCACUUGUUAUUUUUAAGUUUUCUUUUCCACGUGUAUUUAAUUGACCAGUUAUAAGUCUGCAGAAGAAAAAUAUUGAAAAAGCAUUUGAAAAAAAUAUGGUAAGAUUUUGUGUGUUUGAAUUGAGAAAAAUAGGUUUUCUGUUGUCGUGUGUUUGAAUUGACUUUUUUUUGUUAGAUAAUUGAUAGAAUGGUUGCAAUAGAGGAAGAACUAAAAUAUGACAUAGUCAAUGUUUCUCUGUUUGAACAAGGACAACGAUUUAUGGAUGUUAAUGAUUAUCAAAUACUGGUGGCUGAGAAUAAAGAUUUCAAAGAGAGGAUAGUAGUUCUUGAGGAUGAAAUGAGGAUGAUGAAAGAGGCGAGAGUUAAAACUCUAUUUGAGGACGAGGUUGUUCAAGAUGAUCGACAACUUAUGAACUUUAUCACUGAAGAUGAAGUAUGAACUUUUGCUGGAGAUGUUGGACAUAACACUCCAUUUAAUGAUGAUGACAGUGUUGUAGAAAAUCAAUCAAAGUCUAAAUCCAACAUGGCUACAAGAAUUAGGAAGAAACCAAGGAAGCGUGGAAAAAGAACUAGAAUGAAUUUGUAAAUCAUUAGUGUUGUAGUGUAGAAUUUGAUAAAUAUGUAUUGCAAAAUUUUGCCCAAUUGUGAUGUGUUGUAGCGUAGAAUUUGGCACAAUAUUGACAAAUUGUGGUUGUGUUUUGUUUAUAUGCAUAAUGUCUUGAUUAUGCUAUAGUUCAUUUUGUA